GGGUAAGACGAUGAAAAGGGAAUCAGGUGCAAAACCUGAGCAGACCCACUGCCGUAAGCUUCACUAUGAAGCUCCCCGCACACUCUAUUAGAUCCACUGUUGCCACUAUGGUAAUGGGAAGGAUGUGAGGGGGAGGAAGCAAGCCGGAAGACCUGCCACGAGUAUA
rnacentral:ncRNA from 1 species